CAGCAGCCGCGGGAAAACGUAGGGUGCAAGCGUUGUCCGGAAUUAUUGGGCGUAAAGAGCUCGUAGGCGGUUUGUCGCGUCUGCUGUGAAAUCCCGAGGCUCAACCUCGGGCUUGCAGUGGGUACGGGCAGACUAGAGUGCGGUAGGGGAGAUUGGAAUUCCUGGUGUAGCGGUGGAAUGCGCAGAUAUCAGGAGGAACACCGAUGGCGAAGGCAGAUCUCUGGGCCGUAACUGACGCUGAGGAGCGAAAGCGUGGGGAGCGAACAGGAUUAGAUACCCCGGUAGUCCCUGUCUCUUAUAC
rnacentral:rRNA from 1 species